rnacentral:rRNA from 1 species
CGCGUAGGUGGUAGUGCAAGUCUGAGGUGGAAUCCUAUGGCUUAACCAUAGAACUGCCUUGGAGACUGCAUUACUUGAGUCAGUGAGGGGAGGGUAGAAUUCCUGGUGUAGCGGUGAAAUGCGUAGAUAUCAGGAGGAAGGCCGGUGGCAAAGGCGGCCCUCUGGCGCUGAACUGACACUGAGGCGCGAAAGCGUGGGGAGCAAACAGGAUUAGAUACCCUGGUAGUCCACGCCCUAAACGGUGGGUACUAGGUGUAGGGCUCGUAAGGGUUCUGUGCCGAAGCGAAAGCAUUAAGUACCCCGCCUGGGGAGUACGGCCGCAAGGUUGAA